UGGGGAAUUUUGGACAAUGGGGGAAACCCUGAUCCAGCCAUCCCGCGUGUGCGAUGAAGGCCCUCGGGUUGUAAAGCACUUUUGGCAGGAAAGAAACGUCAUGGGUUAAUACCCCGUGAAACUGACGGUACCUGCAGAAUAAGCACCGGCUAACUACGUGCCAGCAGCCGCGGUAAUACGUAGGGUGCAAGCGUUAAUCGGAAUUACUGGGCGUAAAGCGUGCGCAGGCGGUUCGGAAAGAAAGAUGUGAAAUCCCAGAGCUCAACUUUGGAACUGCAUUUUUAACUACCGGGCUAGAGUGUGUCAGAGGGAGGUGGAAUUCCGCGUGUAGAAGUGAAAUGCGUAGAUAUGCGGAGGAACACCGAUGGCGAAGGCAGCCUCCUGGGAUAACACUGACGCUCAUGCACGAAAGCGUGGGGAGCAAACAGG
rnacentral:rRNA from 1 species